AUUGAACGCUGGCGGCAUGCUUUACACAUGCAAGUCGAACGGUAACAGGGUGCUUGCACCGCUGACGAGUGGCGAACGGGUGAGUAAUGCGUCGGAACGUGCCGAGUAGUGGGGGAUAACGCAGCGAAAGUUGUGCUAAUACCGCAUACGUACUGAGGUAGAAAGUGGGGGACCUUCGGGCCUCACGCUAUUCGAGCGGCCGACGUCUGAUUAGCUAGCUGGUGAGGUAAAGGCUCACCAAGGCGACGAUCAGUAGCGGGUCUGAGAGGAUGAUCCGCCACACUGGGACUGAGACACGGCCCAGACUCCUACGGGAGGCAGCAGUGGGGAAUUUUGGACAAUGGGCGCAAGCCUGAUCCAGCCAUGCCGCGUGUCUGAAGAAGGCCUUCGGGUUGUAAAGGACUUUUGUCCGGGAGCAAAUGCUGGUGGCUAACAUCCACCGGAGCUGAGAGUACCGGAAGAAUAAGCACCGGCUAACUACGUGCCAGCCGCCGCCGUAAAAC
rnacentral:rRNA from 1 species